GGGUUGUGAGGUUAAGCGAAUAAGCGUACACGGUGGAUGCCUAGGCAAUCAGAGGCGAUGAAGGACGUGCUAAUCUGCGAAAAGCGUCGGUAAGGUGAUAUGAACCGUUAUACCCGACGAUAUCCGAAUGGGGAAACCCAGUAUCCAAUGGAUACUAUCAUUAACUGAAUCCAUAGGUUAAUGAGGCGAACCGGGAGAACUGAAACAUCUCAGUACCCCGAGGAAAAGAAAUCAACCGAGAUUCCCCCAGUAGCGGCGAGCGAACGGGGAGCAGCCCAGAGUCUUAAUCAAUAGCAGUGUCAGGAGAACGGUCUGGAAAGUCCGGCAGUAAAGGGUGAUAGCCCCGUAUCUGAAGAUGCUGUUAUUGUGAACUCGACGAGUAGGGCGGGACACGUGUUAUCCUGUCUGAAUAUGGGGGGACCAUCCUCCAAGGCUAAAUACUCCUGACUGACCGAUAGUGAACCAGUACCGUGA
rnacentral:rRNA from 1 species